rnacentral:tRNA from 2 species
GCGGGUGUAGUAUAGCGGCUAUUACACUGGCUUGCCAAGUCAGAUACGGCGGUUCAACUCCGCUCACCCGCU